ensembl:lncRNA
GGAGGAUCAAGACGGUUCAACGCAACACCUUUGCUGACUUGCGGGGUCGUUCCAAGACCAUUCUUCAGGAUGGUCCAAAAACCAGGCGAGAAUCUCUGUCAACCUGCCAACAGCUAUUUGGUGAGGAGUGCAGGGAGGCGAUAUCUACAAUAAGACAUUCCAGCGAUGAAUCUGUGGUCAAAGAGAAGAUGAGAGCGACCUUCCAGUAUCGACAGAAGAUGGUUGGGGAUGAUGCAUCAUCUUCAGUCCUGGAUGUGUUCCCUCGUUUUCUUGAUGUACCUGGAUUGGUAAGAAAACUCUUUUGCUUUGGUUGUAGUUGUCCAGUGUAGAACAGUAAUAUAGUCCAGUGCAGGACAAUAUAAUAUCUGUCUGCACUAUACUAUAAUCUCUUUAAUCUUCUUUUCAAUCUUCCAUUUCAGUAUUUGACCUUUCAUUAAUUUUGUAAUGUAUGCUCGAACCUUUAUAUUAAAAUAUUGUUUUCCUUGUUUGUAGAUCGACCAGGAUUUCUCAAUGAUGUUUGGUGACGAAGUGUCUCAGAAGUUCCUGUCCAAGUGGUCAACUUUCUUCAAGCCAAACAUCACAGACUGCAAGACUGCAAAGAAUAUGGAUGAGUUGCUGUCAGCAACUGAAUCUGAGUCUGAAGAGAACAAUGGAUGGGACAGUGAUAUGUCUUCAAUCCUUUUACUGCUGCAUCUACUCCCUCCAACUUCAAGGGGCCAGAAAAAAACUGCCAAGAUCAGUUCAGCUCAAGCAACCAGCCAUCUUGUUAGAUAUCUUAAGGAAGGAGCCAGUAUUACUACCUUCCUUGAGAGUGUCGACGCAAACAACCGUUCCUCCUUUGCAUCGGUGAGCAAAAGAAGAAUAUCCAAAGGUUCUACCUUAUUAUCGACCGAAAAGCAAUCCCGUGCAAGGCACACACAUCAGGGGCAGCUUUAGACAUUACAUUUGGACGCCUGUUCAAAUGUUACAAGUACAAGGUGGGUCAGAUAUUACGGUACUGAGUACCAGGUUGGGUUGUACUUAUGCACUGGAUGUACCGAUGAUCUUCCUGUGUUCAAAAAGAUCUGUGAUAUUAUAAUACAUGAACAGCACGCUUUCAUAAUAUCCUGUAAUGUACAAACAAUGUACUAUGAUGACCACUUUAGUGCAUACUGUAUAGAAGACCAAAUGAAUGUGUUUUCUGUCAUAUCUGUGAAGGCACUGACUUAUUUUAGACCAUUUGACAAGCAAUGCUCUAAUGACAAUAGUCAAAGAGCAUACAUAGUGCCUUAUUGUUACAUUUAGAUAAAUGUACAGCAAUGAAAAAAGAUUUGGUAAUGUUGAUGCAUUUGAAGAAAUAAAAAUGUUAAA